rfam:Asian citrus Psyllid, Diaphorina citri - Florida Strain, whole genome shotgun sequence.
GCCUCGGUGGCGAAGUGGUCAAGACACUUGCCUGGUAAACAGGAGGGCGUGGGUUCGAUCCCAGCCGAGGCA